rnacentral:rRNA from 1 species
UGGGGAAUAUUGGACAAUGGGGGCAACCCUGAUCCAGCAAUGCCGCGUGUGUGAAGAAGGUCUUCGGAUUGUAAAGCACUUUCGACGGGGACGAUGAUGACGGUACCCGUAGAAGAAGCCCCGGCUAACUUCGUGCCAGCAGCCGCGGUAAUACGAAGGGGGCUAGCGUUGCUCGGAAUGACUGGGCGUAAAGGGCGUGUAGGCGGUUUACACAGUCAGAUGUGAAAUCCCCGGGCUUAACCUGGGAGCUGCAUUUGAUACGUGUAGACUAGAGUGUGAGAGAGGGUUUGUGGAAUUCCCAGUGUAGAGGUGAAAUU